GACGAACGCUGGCGGCGUGCUUAACACAUGCAAGUCGAACGAAAAUACCAAGCUUGCUUGGUUGAUUAGUGGCGAACGGGUGAGUAACACGUGAGUAACCUGCCCCUUACUUUCCUGGAUAACUGCUCGAAAGGGUAGCUAAUACGGGAUAUUCUGACCAGCCUGCAUGGGUUGGUUUGGAAAGGUUGUUUUUCUGGUAAGGGAUGGGCUCGCGGCCUAUCAGCUUGUUGGUGGGGUGAUGGCCUACCAAGGCUCUGACGGGUAGCCGGCCUGAGGGGGUGGACGGUCACACUGGGACUGAGAUACGGCCCAGGCUCCUACGGGAGGCAGCAGUGGGGAAUAUUGCACAAUGGGCGCCAGCCUGAUGCAGCGACGCCGCGUGAGGGAUGAAGGCCUUCGGGUUGUAAACCUCUUUCGUCAGGGAACAAGGCACUGCUUUUUUGGUGGUGUUGAGGGUACCUGGAUAAGAAGCGCCGGCUAACUACGUG
rnacentral:rRNA from 1 species